rnacentral:lncRNA from 1 species
GGAAAACCAUUUAUUGCAUAUAUUUACCGUUAUGAGAUUUUCAAAAUCAACCUAUAGAGAUAAUAACUCAAAUAACAUCCCAAUCUCAUUUUCAAGUGAGUUAUAACAAUAACGUUUCCUUUUUAUUUGCCUAUUGGUAUCCCUGGGGGCCCAUAGGGAUGUCCCACUACGCGUGAACCAAUAUCCAACAUUGUCAACUAACCGACCGUCUCUAUACCCCAUCUGGUAUGAGCACCAAAAAUAUCAUCCCUCAAUAUCCCGUCUGGUAUGAGGGUGAAUC